rnacentral:rRNA from 1 species
GACGGAGGGUGCUAGCGUUGUUCGGAAUUACUGGGCGUAAAGGGCGCGUAGGCGGCUGCUCAAGUCGGGUGUGAAAGCCCGGGGCUCAACCCCGGAACGGCACCCGAGACUGGGCGGCUCGAGACCGGGAGAGGAGGGUGGAAUACCCAGUGUAGAGGUGAAAUUCGUAGAUAUUGGGUGGAACACCGGUGGCGAAAGCGGCUCUCUGGCCCGGUUCUGACGCUGAGGCGCGAAAGCGUGGGGAGCAAACAGG